GAUUCUUCUGCUGUAUUCCAUGUUUUCAUGGUACUUCCAGACAGAGAUAGUGUUUACUCGAUGCUCAUACAUGAUGAGCAACAGGCUGAAUUUCAGGUUUCUAUCCCUGCUUUCUCCUCUGAAUCCACUUUCUUUGCUGCUGGUGUGCAAAGAUUUCCUACUGGGUUUUCAGAGACCCUCUUAAGUACCCUGUAGGUGGAGGGGGCCAAAGAUAUCCAACAGGGUUAAUUUUGAUUCCACCACCAAACCUAAUCCAAAUAAUAUGUCCUCCAUUUUUUGCAAUAUUGCAAGAAACCAGGACACCUGAUUGCAAAUUGUCGUAAGCUUCAUGGUUAUAAUGAUAACAUUCAACAUAAUAAGGGCAAACAGGGUGUAGGUAUAGCAAAUUGUGCACAUAGUGCAAUGUCUUCGGGGUCAUCUACUCUAGGAUUAUUUGCUUCAGUUCAUUUUAGGGCCAUUCCCUCUUCUUAGUCUGAGGCUUCUUUCCAUCGAUUCAGCAAGGAACAACAUAACCAUAUCCUCUUUCUU
rnacentral:lncRNA from 1 species